rnacentral:lncRNA from 1 species
GCUUUAUUUGUUUCCCAAAAUUAUAUUGGGACUUGUUGAAAGCAUUGUGUGACUUCUAUAAAUGGCUAUUUUCUUGUAACUGUCAGUGAUAUGGAUGUGUACAUUGUUUUAUAUAUACAUAUAUAUAUAUAUAUAUACAUAUAUAUAUUUCUGGGGGUAAUUUCUUUUUAGGGUCGACAGUGUUUUUUUGUUUUGUUUUUUUAAGUUACCUUUUGCCAAUGACUUUUUCUGCUAGCUUUUACUUUCAUUCAGCUUUCUAACGGAGUUCAUUCUUAUUGUGUUGUCAACUUGCCUGUAAGAGAGACUUCAUCUCAUCAGUGAAGGAGGUGUUUCGUUAUUCCCACGAGUCUUACAGCAAGCACAGAUUCUUCAUAAGGAUCAGAUCUCUUCCACGUCUGUGUCAGUCACAUAAAGGACACUGAAGCCUUCAUUUCUUUGUACUGAUAUGAUGGUGUUAUACACUACAUCACUAGCUAGUUAAGGUUUUGUGACCUGACUUCUUCGUCUUCCUAGAUUUCACAGAACUUAUUCAAGCUACAAGGAGGAAUAAUGAAGAUUGAGGCUACUGCUCAUUAUCAUUUUUGUCAUUCAUACUUUUUAAAGAGUUUGCAUUUAUAGAACUCUGAAUAGCUGACCAUUUACAUACCUGAAGGACAUGUCCCUGAAUGAGACCAUUAUAUAUAUUAACUAAAAUAUUUCACUAUUUUUUUAUUUUAUAAAUCUUUGUAGAAAUGAGCAAUGAAAUGCUACUUUCAUCUUUUGAAAUGGGAUUUUUCAAGGUAGUGUCCUUUUGGCAUUAAGGUAGGGGGGAGUUAAUAUUCUCUCUACUUAUUUCCACAUGAAUCAAUAUGAAGUCGUGGACAUUUAAAAAUCUCAAUUUAAUUUCUACUUAUUUACUAUGCAGUAUAGCCGUGAACAAGUAAUGUAGAUUUAGUUUCUCAUCUUCAAAUGCCCUGAUCACCCUACCUCACAGGGUUGUUGUGAGGAUAAAUAAAACUUUUAUGGAAGUACUUUUCUUUGAUGCCAUUUUAUCAGCCAUCAGAAACAAUGGAAUUUUG